UACGUAGGUGGCAAGCGUUGUCCGGAUUUACUGGGCGUAAAGAGCGCGCAGGCGGUCCUUCAAGUCGAAUGUGAAAUCCCCCGGCUCAACUGGGGAGGGUCAUUCGAUACUGAUGGACUCGAAGGCAGGAGAGGGAAGCGGAAUUCCCGGUGUAGUGGUGAAAUGCGUAGAUAUCGGGAGGAACACCAGUGGCGAAGGCGGCUUCCUGGCCUGUUCUUGACGCUGAGGCGCGAAAGCUAGGGGAGCAAACGGG
rnacentral:rRNA from 1 species